UACGUAGGGCGCAAGCGUUGUCCGGAAUUAUUGGGCGUAAAGAGCUCGUAGGCGGCUUGUCACGUCGGAUGUGAAAGCCCGGGGCUUAACCCCGGGUCUGCAUUCGAUACGGGCUAGCUAGAGUGUGGUAGGGGAGAUCGGAAUUCCUGGUGUAGCGGUGAAAUGCGCAGAUAUCAGGAGGAACACCGGUGGCGAAGGCGGAUCUCUGGGCCAUUACUGACGCUGAGGCGCGAAAGCGUGGGGAGCGAACAGG
rnacentral:rRNA from 1 species